GAGUUUGAUCCUGGCUCAGGAUGAACGCUAGCGGUGUGCUUAAUACAUGCAAGUCGAACGGUAGCCUUUGAAUUCGUUUGAAGGUGACAGUGGCGAACGGGUGCGUAACACGUAGGUGACCUGCCCUGGAGAGGGGGACAACCAGUGGAAACGAUGGCUAAUACCCCGGAUGUACUACUAUUUAGAAAGGUAGUACUAAAGGUACGACGCACUAGGAGGGACCUGCGGUCCAUCAGCUAGUUGGUGAGGUAACGGCUUACCAAGGCAAAGACGGGUAGGGGGCGUGAGAGCGUGACCCCCCACACUGGUACUGAUACACGGACCAGAUACCUGCGGGUAGCAGCAGCAAGGAAUAUUGCCCAAUGGACGAAAGUCUGAGGCAGCAACGCCGCGUGGGGGACGAAGGCCCUCGGGUUGUAAACUCCUUUUCUGAGGGAAGAGAAAGGACAGUACCUCAGGAAUAAGCUUCGGCUAACUACGUGCCAGCAGCCGCGGUAAAACGUAGGAAGCGAGCGUUAUCCGGAUUUAUUGGGCGUAAAGCGCAUGCAGGUUGUUUUCAAAGUUGGACGUGAAAGCUCUCGGCUCAACUGGGAGAGGCCGUUCAAAACUGGGAGGCUUGAGGGUGGUAGGGGUGAGUGGAAUUCCAGGUGUAGUGGUGAAAUACGUAGAUAUCUGGAGGAACACCAGUGGCGAAAGCGGCUCACUGGACUAACCCUGACGCUGAGAUGCGAAAGCUAGGGGAGAGAACGGGAUUAGAAACCCCGGUAUUCCUAGCCGUAAACGAUGUCAACUAGGUGUAGGAGGUCAUUGAAUCUUCCUGUACUGUAGCUAACGCGAUAAGUUGACCGCCUGGGGAGUACGGCCGCAAGGUUAAAACUCAAAUGAAUUGACGGGGGCCCGCACAAGCGGUGGAGCAUGUGGUUUAAUUCGAUCCAACGCGAAGAACCUUACCAGGGCUUGACAUAUACGUGGUAGUGAUUGGAAACAUGAUCGACCCUUCGGGGAGCGUAUACAGGUGCUGCAUGGCUGUCGUCAGCUCGUGCCGUGAGGUGUUAGGUUAAGUCCUGUAACGAGCGCAACCCUCGUCGUUAGUUAUACGUGUCUAACGAGACUGCCGGUGAUAAGCCGGAGGAAGGUGGGGAUGACGUCAAGUCAGCAUGGCCUUUAUGUCCUGGGCUACACACACGCUACAAUGGCCGACACAAUGGGUAGCCAAGCCGCGAGGCGGAGCCAAUCCUUCAAAGUCGGUCUCAGUUCGGAUUGCAGGCUGCAACUCGCCUGCAUGAAGUCGGAGUUGCUAGUAAACGCACGUCAGCACAGUGCGUUGAAUACGUUCCCGGGGCUUGUACACACCGCCCGUCACGUCAUGGAAGUUGGCAACGCCUAAAGUCAGUGGGCUAACCCUUCGGGGAGGCAGCUGCCUAAGGCGGGGUUGGUAACUGGGACGAAGUCGGAACAAGGUAGCUGUAGCGGAUGCUGCGGCUGGAUCACCUCCUUU
rnacentral:rRNA from 1 species